CGUCUAUAUACGUAUAGCAUAUCAAUAAGCGGAGGAAAAGAAACUAACUAGGAUUCCCUCAGUAACGGCGAGUGAAGCGGGAAGAGCUCAAAUUUGAAAUCUUCAAGGUUCUACCUUGACGAAUUGUAGUUUAAAGAAGUGUUUUCUGUUAGGAGUUUUGGUAAAAGUUCUUUGGAAUAGGACAUCAUAGAGGGUGAGAAUCCCGUAUUUGACCAUUAUCUUCCAACUUUGUGAUACACUUUCAAAGAGUCGGAUUGUUUGGGAAUGCAGUCCAAAAUGGGUGGUAAAUUUCAUCUAAAGCUAAAUAUUGGCGAGAGACCGAUAGCGAACAAGUACCGUGAGGGAAAGAUGAAAAGAACUUUGAAAAGAGAGUUAAACAGUACGUGAAAUUGUCAAAAGGGAAGCGUUUGACACCAGUGUUGUUUUCUCGAAAAUCAAUUAAAAAUGGUGGGAUUUUGUGUUGUAUUGACUUUAUCAGCUUUCUGCACUUUUUUCCUAUCUUUUUUAAUGCACUUUUCGUUUAACAAGUCAACAUCAAUUUCUUUUGUUGUAAAAGGGUCAUUGGAAGGUGGCUUUCUUUUCGGAGAAAGUGUUUAUAGCCUUUGGCUUCUGCAAUCGGAGAGAUUGAGGUCUGCAGCGUAGAUCCUUCGGGGUUAGAUACAUUUGUGCUAAGUUAUAGCCUUUCAUAGACAACUUGUUGACUAUGAUCAGUCAUGUAGCUUACUCGCUUAUGCUAUUUUACCUACGCUUAGGAUGUUGACGAUCAGCUGAGCGCG
rnacentral:rRNA from 1 species